GACGAACGCUGGCGGCGUGCCUAAUACAUGCAAGUUGAGCGCUGAAGGUUGGUACUUGUACCAACUGGAUGAGCAGCGAACGGGUGAGUAACGCGUGGGGAAUCUGCCUUUGAGCGGGGGACAACAUUUGGAAACGAAUGCUAAUACCGCAUAAAAACUUUAAACACAAGUUUUAAGUUUGAAAGAUGCAAUUGCAUCACUCAAAGAUGAUCCCGCGUUGUAUUAGCUAGUUGGUGAGGUAAAGGCUCACCAAGGCGAUGAUACAUAGCCGACCUGAGAGGGUGAUCGGCCACAUUGGGACUGAGACACGGCCCAAACUCCUACGGGAGGCAGCAGUAGGGAAUCUUCGGCAAUGGACGAAAGUCUAACCGAGCAGCGCCGCGUGAGUGAAGAAGGUUUUCGGAUCGUAAAACUCGGUUGGUAGAGAAGAACGUUGGUGAGAGUGGAAAGCUCAUCAAGUGACGGUAACUACCCAGAAAGGGACGGCUAACUACGUG
rnacentral:rRNA from 1 species